UACGUAGGGGGCAAGCGUUGUCCGGAUGUAUUGGGCGUAAAGAGCGUGUAGGCGGCCAUACAGGUCCGUUGUGAAAACUGGAGGCUUAACCUCCAGACGUCGAUGGAAACCGUAUGGCUAGAGUCCGGAAGAGGAGAGUGGAAUUCCUGGUGUAGCGGUGAAAUGCGCAGAUAUCAGGAAGAACACCCGUGGCGAAGGCGGCUCUCUGGGACGGUACUGACGCUGAGACGCGAAAGCGUGGGGAGCUAACAGG
rnacentral:rRNA from 1 species